AUCGUGAUGAAGGUGAAAAAAUGGAGAGAAACUGCUGAUGUUUAGUGGCUACCUUUGCUACCUUGCAGUUUACUUGUUAGGUGGGAAGAGCCAAGGUGCUCUCCCUACCCCUUCUUCCUGGGGCCUCCAGAGAUCCUGAGCUCAUCCUCCUGACCGGCCCAUCGGUUCUGGCCCUCACAUCCUGUUUGCUGUACCUACUUUAUCCCAUGUCACCAUCUCCGUGCCCCAGCCUGGUGACAAUCCCACUUCCUACCCAUUCCAUUGGCUUCUCCAUUUGACUUGGAGCUCUUCAGCUGGAUCGAGACAACUACUCUGAUGAAUGCCACGUCACUGGAUCAACAGAAUGGGCCCAAGUAUGCUAGUUUACAAGGACUCCAGAUGCCCUGGGAGCUUCAAAAUGUUUCGCCAAUUAUCAGAGGAAGUUACUGGGAGGGGGCUUGCUGUGGCCCCAUCUGGGAGAGUUGAGCCCUGGUCCAGCCCCACGCAGGGAGGGAGCCUAUC